rnacentral:rRNA from 1 species
UAAUAGUUAAAUUAGAUUUAAAUUAUAUAGGUCAUCUAAUAUUGAUAUGGUUAUGUGAAUUAAGUUAUUAAAGUGAUUCACAGGGAUACCUAGCAAAACAUAUCUUAAAGGAAGUUUAUACUUAAAGUUUAAGUUAAUAAUUUGAAUUCUUAAACAAUCCUAAGGAAAACCAUUAAGAUAAAUUACAUUGGGAAUUAAAACAUUUUAGUACCAAUAGGAAAAGAAAUUUAACAAGACUUCUGGAGUAAUGGUGAAUGAAACAGAACUAGCUUAAUCAUUUUUAAUUUUAAUAAUAUACAAUUAAAUAUUGUGGAAUUCAAUAAAUAUAAUUAAAAAUAUUUUAAUAUUUAAAAUUAUACCAAAGAAGGUGAAAGUCCUGUAAUAGUUAUUAUUAAUAACAAAUUAAUUAUGAUAAUUAAGUAAUAUGAAGACGGCUGCUUUGUAUGAAUUAAUUUUAAGGGAUACCAUUCUCUAAAGCUAAGUAUGAUAUGUUUUAGCGAUAGUGAAGAGUAACGUGAGUGAAAGGUGAAAAGAAAGUUGAUGACUAGUGAAAUAGAUUUUGAAUUGUGAAUCAUAUAAGCAAAAGAUGAAGUUUUCGAGUAGAAAAUUACAAGUUACCUUUUGCAUAAUGGGUCAGUUAGUUAAUAUUAUAUGCAAGAUUUAAUAGUCUUAGAUAAAUCAAUUAAAUUUAUAUUUAUUUAAAAAUAAUAAAUAAUUAAUAAAUUUGAGAAUAGUAUAUAGUAUUAGAUCCGAAACCAGAUGAUCUUUUCAUGAUCAGGUUUGAAAGGACCGAACAGGUUAAUGUUGCAAUAUUAUCUGAAGAAUUGUGAAAAGGGGUGAAAUGCCAAUCUAAUCUGGUGAUAGCUGAUAUUCUGCGAAAUCUAUUUUAGUAGAUUAUUAAUUAUAGAUUUUUAUUUGUAUAGCACUGAAUCUCAUUAAUAUUUAAAUAUUUAUAUUUAAAAAAUUAUUAAUUAGGGGGUAUUAUACUCUACUAUUGAGAUUUAACCUCAGAAGGAUAAAAAUUGAUUAUUAGUAAACAGUCUAUUUGUGAUAAGGUAAAUAGACGAAAGGUAAACAGACCAGACCAUUAAUUAAGGUCCCAAAAUAAUAUUAAGUGAAAUUAAGAAAGUUUUUAGUUUAGUACAAUCAUGAAGUAAGCUUGGAAGUAGCUAUCUUUUAAUGAUAGUGUAACAACUCAAUGAUCUAAUGAUUAAAAGCGUCUAAAAUUUAACGGGUCUAAGAUAUUAUACCUAAAUAAUGGUUAAUUUUAUUAAUUAUAUAUAAUUAAUUAUAAUUAUAAUUAAUUUAAUUAAGGUAGCAGAACACUCAAUUUUAGUGUGAAGAAUAAGAUAACAUUUUAUUUGGACGAAAUUGAAGAGAGAAUGCUGACAUGAGUAACGAAAAGAAGAUAAAAUUCUUCUCACCGAAUACGAAAGGUUUUCAUGAAAAAGGUAAUCUGUCAUGAAUUAUACGGUUUCUAAGGAAAUUAUUAGAAUUAUAAUUUCUGAUGAAGUAAUUAUAUAAAAUUCUUAAUAAAUUUUAAGAACAGGAAAAAUAUAUAAUAUUUUGUAUAAAAAUAACCGUACCUUAAACCGACACAGGUUCGUAGGUAGAGUAUACUAAGGUGAAGAGAUAAGACUAGUGAAGGAACUCGGCAAAAUGCUUCCGUAAGUUCGACGAUAAGGAAGGUCUUGUUAAUAAUAUAUUUAUUUAUAUAAUAAAUUUUAUAUUUAUAAAAUAAUUAUUAAUAGGAUUACAAAAAAGUGAGGGCUUCGACUGUUUACUAAAAACACAGCAACUUGCAAAGACGAAUAGUAUUAGUAUAAGUUGUGAACUCUGUCCAAUGCCAAUCUGUAUAAAGAAGAUAAUGGUUUUUAAUUUUAAAGAUUAAAAAUAAGUUAUUAACUGAUGCAGUGGUCAAUGACGGUCUUAACCAUAAGGAUCUGAAAGUAGCGAAAUUCCUUGGCCAUUAAAUGUGGUCCUGCAUGAAUGAGGUAACGCGGCCCUGCUGUCUCCACUAGUUUCUCAGUGAAAUUGAAAUAGCCGUGCAGAUGCGGUUUACCUUCCGGAGGACGCGAAGACCCUAUGCAGCUUUACUGUAAUUUGAAAUUGUUUUUUAUUUUAUUAAAUGUAGUAUACAAGGGAAUGUAAAUAUCAGUGAAAUACCUUGAUUAAUAUUAAUAAGAAACUAAUUUGAUGAAUAAUAAAUUAUAUUAUAAAAAGUAAUAUAAUAAUAUAAUAAUAUCAAAGACAGUUUCAGAGGGUCAGUUUUACUGGGGCGGUAGCCUUUAAGAAAGUAUCAGAGGCCUUCAAAGGUACAUUAAAAUUGGUCAGAAACCAAUACUAAAAUAAUAGUAUUAUUAUGUAAUAAUAAAAUGUGCUUUACUGAAAAAUUGAUAGAUUAAUCAGUUACGCAAGUAGGAUAUAGUGAUCCGGUGAUCCAUAAUGGAAUGGUCAUCGCUCAAGAAAUAAAAGUUACGCUAGGGAUAACAGGUUUAUCGUUUGCGAGAGUUCAUAUUGUCCAAACGGUUUGACACCUCGAUGUCGACUCUUCUCAUCCUCCAGGGUAGUAGCUUGGAAGGGUUCAGCUGUUCGCUGAUUAAAGAGGAACGUGAGUUGGGUUUAAUACGACGUGAGUCAGUAUAGAUUCUAUCCUCGGAAGGCAAAAUUAAUAAAAUAAGAACCUCUUAUUAGUACGAAAGGACCAUAAGAGAUGAUUCAAUAGUGUAUCUGUUGUUAUAUAUUAGCAUAGCAGAGUAGCCACAAUCAUAAAUAGAUAAGUACUGAAAGCAUCUCAAGUACGAAACAGAUCUUAGUUUUAUUAAUAUAGAAAUAAGAAAUAGAUUAUUUCUAUUGGUUUAUUAAAAAAACCAUAAAAUAGGAUACAAAUGAAUGUUUAGUAUUACUAAAUAAUUGAAUAACUUAAUUCAUCCAU